UACGUAGGGGGCAAGCGUUGCCCGGAUUUACUGGGCGUAAAGAGCGUGUAGGCGGCCAAGCAGGUCCGUUGUGAAAACUGGAGGCUUAACCUCCAGACGUCGACGGAAACCGCGUGGCUAGAGUCCGGAAGAGGAGAGUGGAAUUCCUGGUGUAGCGGUGAAAUGCGCAGAUAUCAGGAAGAACACCAAUGGCGAAGGCAGCUCUCUGGGACGGUACUGACGCUGAGACGCGAAAGCGUGGGGAGCGAACAGG
rnacentral:rRNA from 1 species